UUAAGCUAAGAAGAGCGUAGGGAGAAUGCCUUGGCAUUAGGAGCCGACGAAGGACGUGAUAAGCUGCGAUAAGCUGCGGGGAUCAGCAAGUAUGAAUUGAUCCGCAGAUUUCCGAAUGGAGCAAUCCGUAUGUGUAUGCACAUACAUCAUAUACUGAAUCAAAUAGGUAUAUGAGGGGAACCGCCUGAACUGAAACAUCUAAGUAGGGCGAGGAAGAGAAAUCAACCGAGAUUCUGUGAGUAGUGGCGAGCGAAAGCGGAAGAGGCUAAACCAUAGGUAGCAAUACUUAUGGGGUUUCGGACAGCAUUUAGUAUUGAUAAUUUCUAGUUGAAACGUGUGGGAAAACGUACCGAAGAGUGUGAGAGUCACGUAAGCGAAAGAGAAAGUCAGCGAGCUGUAUCCAAAGUACCGCGGGACACGUGAAACCCCGUGGGAAGAUGGGGGGACCAUCCUCCAAGCCUAAAUACUACCUAAUGACCGAUAGCGAAUAGUACUGUGAAGGAACGGUGAAAAGAACCCCGGGAGGGGAGUGAAAAAGAACCUGAAACCCUAUGCUUACAAGCACCGAGAGCACGUCAAAGUGUGAUCGGGUACCUUUUGUAGAAUGGUCCGGCGAGUUAUUGUAUGCGGCAAGGUUAAGUGCUUAAGGCACGGAGCCGAAGCGAGAGCAAGUCUGAACAGGGCGAAAAAGUCGUAUGCAAUAGACCCGAAACCGAGUGACCUAUCCAUGUCCAGGCUGAAGUGGAGGUAAAACUCCAUGGAGGGCCGAACACACGUCCGUUGAAAAGGCCGGUGAUGAGGUGUGGAUAGCGGAGAAAUUCCAAUCGAACUCGGAUAUAGCUGGUUCUCUCCGAAAUAGCUUUAGGGCUAGCCUCGUGAAAGAUUACUGGAGGUAAAGCACUGAAUGGGCUAGGGGUCGAAAGAUUACUGAACCCUAUCAAACUAAGAAUGCCAGAUAAUUGAUUCACGGGAGUCAGACAAUGUGAGAUAAGUCUCAUUGUCAAAAGGGAAACAGCCCAGACCCACAGCUAAGGUCCCUAAACAUUGUUAAGUGGAAAAGGAUGUGGGGUUGCAUAAACAACCAGGAUGUUGGCUUAGAAGCAGCCACUCAUUAAAAGAGUGCGUAAUAGCUCACUGGUCGAGUGACCCUGCGCCGAAAAUUCAACGGGGCUAAACAAUGUACCGAAGCUUGGGAUUCUAGAUUUAUCUAGAGUGGUAGGAGAGCGUCGAAUAAGGGGUGAAGUCAGAGCGGAAGCGCUGGUGGACUUUAUUCGAGUGAGAAUGCCGGAAUGAGUAGCGAGAAUUAUGUGAGAAUCAUAAUGGCCGAAAAUCUAAGGUUUCCUGAGGAAGGUUCGUCCGCUCAGGGUAAGCCGGGGGCUAAGGCGAGGCGGAGACGCGUAGCCGAUGCACAUACGGUUGAAAUUCCGUAGCCACCGAAAGAUUUAAGUACAGGGACGCUUUAGAAGUGAUGUUGCCGGGCGAUGGUUGACCCGGUCGUAAGGGAUCGAAAAUGAGUAGAGAAGUCAUCAUGGAAAGAGACAAGAAAAGCUGUAUGGAUAUCUUAGGUGCCCGUACCGCAAACCGACACAGGUAGAUAGGAAGAAGAUUCUAAGGCCAACGGGAGAAGGGUUGUUAAGGAACUCGGCAAGUUGACCCCGUAACUUAGGGAUAAGGGGUGCUCAAGUGAUUGAGCCGCAGAGAAUAGGCCCAGGCGACUGUUUAGCAAAAACACAGGUCUCUGCUAAAUCGAAAGAUGACGUAUAGGGGCUGACACCUGCCCGGUGCCGGAAGGUUAAGAGGAGAUGUGAGAGCAUUGAAUUGAAGCCCCGGUAAACGGCGGCCGUAACUAUAACGGUCCUAAGGUAGCGAAAUUCCUUGUCAGGUAAGUUCUGACCCGCACGAA
rnacentral:rRNA from 1 species